rnacentral:rRNA from 1 species
GACGAACGCUGGCGGCGUGCUUAACACAUGCAAGUCGAACGGUAAGGCCCUUCGGGGUCCACGAGUGGCGAACGGGUGAGUAACGCGUGAGUAACCUGCCCUUCACUCUGGGAUAACAGUUGGAAACGGCUGCUAAUACCGGAUAUUCAGCUCCUGUCGCAUGGUGGGGGUUGGAAAGUUUUGGUGGUGGAGGAUGGGCUCGCGUCCUAUCAGCUUGUUGGUGGGGUGAUGGCCUACCAAGGCGUCGACGGGUAGCCGGCCUGAGAGGGCGACCGGCCACAUGGGAACUGGGUACGGCCCAAACCCCGAAGGGGGGGAGGCGGGGGGGAUUAUGCCACAAGGGCGGAAGCCUGAUGCAGCAACGCCGCGUGCGGGAUGACGGCCUUCGGGUUGUAAACCGCUUUCAGCAGGGACGAAGCGCAAGUGACGGUACCUGCAGAAGAAGCACCGGCUAACUACGUG